rnacentral:rRNA from 1 species
UACGGAGGAUGCGAGCGAUAUCCGGAUUUAUUGGGUUUAAAGGGUGCGUAGGCGGACUGUUAAGUCAGCGGUAAAAUACGGGGGCUCAACCUCCGCCCGCCGUUGAAACUGACGGUCUUGAGUGGGCGAGAAGUAUGCGGAAUGCGUGGUGUAGCGGUGAAAUGCAUAGAUAUCACGCAGAACCCCGAUUGCGAAGGCAGCAUGCCGGCUUCCGACUGACGCUGAAGCACGAAAGCGUGGGGAUCGAACAGG